rnacentral:rRNA from 1 species
GACGAACGCUGGCGGCGCGCUUAACACAUGCAAGUCGAGCGAAGCGGCGGACGGGUGAGUAACACGUGAGUAACCUGCCUUAGACAUUGGGAUAGCCUCGGGAAACCGGGAUUAAUACCAAAUGGUCUAAGAUGUACUCGCGUCCCAUUAGCUAGUUGGUGAGGUAACGGCCCACCCAAGCGACGCUGGGUAGCCGGCAGGAGAGGGUGAACGGCCACAUUGGAACUGAGAAACGGUCCAAACUCUACGGGAGGCAGCAGUGGGGAAUAUUGCACAAUGGCGGGAACUCUGAUGCAGCGACGCCGCGUGAACGAAGAAGGCUUUCGAGUCGUAAAGUUCUUUUAUAUGGGAAGCGGUACCAUAAGAAAAAGCCCCGGCUAACUACGUGCCAGCAGCCGCGGUAAUUC